GCGCCUCUCUUCUUCUUUUCUCUCAUAUUCACGUUUCUGAUAAAAAAACAACAACAGUAGCUUCUCUUUCUUGAUGUGAACAACAAUUGCUCUUGGUUCUCCUUUCUCGGUGAGCUCUCCUUGUAGCAACAACGACAAACUAAUGUUCUCUCUCUGUGCUACCUCUCUCGUGGAGAACAGUGACAACAACAAUUUCUCAGGGUGCUUUUUGGUUCUCUCAUGUUCAAGUGAUUUUCGUUUUAACAGGGAAAUAAGUUUAACAGCAACAAAUUACAAUAUUUAGAGAAAGAGUUGAAUCGACUUACCUACGGCAAGGAGAUUUUUGCCGGUGAUUGUUGAGCUUCACAAUAACUUGUUGCUGGAAGCGUCGGUGUUGAAAUUGCAGGUGAUGUGUGUAUGAGGUGUAGACACGGGGCUGCAACGUUGAAGGCUUUUGAUGAAAGUGACCACCACCUCUUUGGAUAUUAGGGAGCCUUGAAGAUGGAACUUCAAGUUGUUGGAAGCUUGAAGAUGAAGAUCUUCAAGUGAGGUAUGAAGAACUACCUCUCCCUUCUUUGUAACUAUGGAACUUUGUAACUUGAAAAUUAUGAAAAGAGAGUGAAGUGAGAAAGCUAGUAGUAUAGUAGCUUUUUUUUUAACUUCAAGGAGAGAAUUUCCUAUUUAUAGGCAAAGUUAAGGAUGUGUUUGGAUGAUAAUAAACUUGAUUGGCAAGUUAUAAUCAUUGCAAGCAUAUUCCUCAUGACAUGUGCAAAUAUAUAUUCUCAUGACAUAAGCCAAACAAAAAAUCUCUCUUUGGUCCUUUUUUGUCUUGAUUUAAUCUUUUUUUUUUGAAUUAUUGAACUUUUGCUAAUCUCACCCCUUUUUGUUUCUUUUUCAUGUUGCAUGAGGACUUUGAAGAAAGCAUGAAGAAAUUUGAUUUUGAAGAAUGAAGACUUUGAAGAUUGAAGGAUUCAAGAAAGUCUUUGAAGCUUUUUUUUCUUUUUUCUUGUAAUUCCAAUUCAUUUCACCUUAGAAUUGUAUGA